AAUAGAACAUAUACGUUUUUGUACCAGUUUUUCUGUUGGACAGUGUUAUAUAGCUAGCAGAGCUGAUAGCUAGGAGCUGAAAAGAAAAGAAAAGGAACAAUGAUAAAGAAGUAAUCUGUAAUCUUGCAUUGUAUAUAUAAAUAUUUAUUAUUAUAAAGAGAAGGAGUAAGGAAUCACGGAUCUGUGAUGCUGAGUCUAUUUCGAAAGGACUCAUUGGAUUAUGGUACGUUAAUUAAUCAAAGUCUUGGCCUUAGUUGAGGCUUGAAGAAAUGGAAAAAACUCCAUCGAUAGAAAGAAAGGAAUAUUGUUUCUACUUUUACUAUCAACGAGAUAAAAUAGCUCACGAAAGUACAUCUCUUUUCUUGGGUUAAUCUCAUUUGGGCUUAUUCAGGAGCACUAUAUUCAUGGAGAGUCCACGUCUUUUCAGAAAAUAUAUUAAUACAUAGGUUGACAUAAACAAUCAACUUUAGUAUAUCUACAUAAAAUUGAAAACUUCUUGAUUUGAUAAAAGAUUAUAGGUAAUAAUCUAAUUAUUUAUUCGACUUAACAACUUUUUAUUUGCGAAUCUACCUCAUGUAUUCAUGAACAACGUUCGUUUGCCAAGAGGAAUCCAUAUAUUCGUCUCCUUGGCUCUUUAUUUCGUUAAGGACUCCUAAACGAGGUUCGACUACAUCUCAUCCUCAUUUAAUAUUUUAGGAGAUGAUCGUAAAGAAGUUCAACCCUUGGAGUAUGCUUUUUAGUGACCGAGGACUGACUCAUGAAGAAAUAGAAGAACUCAUAUCGUUUUGAUUUGUGUUUACCAUAAUUAAAAAAACAAAACAUUACAUAUUAUAAUUUUACAGACCUGUUCAAUUAGAGAAUAAUAACCACGUUACAUUAAAAAAAAUGUAGUUUUUAUGUGGAUAUCAGAAUACUGACUCAUUUAAGAACAUACUCAAAUUAUUAUUAUAUCUUUUAUUUUACAAUAUUAUUUUCAUAUAUUUAUUUGAUAUAUAUGUAACUGUAAGAAACUAAAUAAAUAUUCACUUUUAAUUUGAUUAAAGAUAUAAAUUUUUUGGUAUAAAUUUUUUAAAAAGCUCUUUUCUUUGACGAAUUUACUUGGUUAUUAAUUUCCAAGGGUUGAUUUCUGGCGAA
rnacentral:lncRNA from 1 species